GAUGAACGCUGGCGGCGUGCUUAACACAUGCAAGUCGAACGGUGAAGCAGGAGCUUGCUCCUGUGGAUCAGUGGCGAACGGGUGAGUAACACGUGAGCAAUCUGCCCUGGACUCUGGGAUAAGCGUUGGAAACGACGUCUAAUACCGGAUACGAGGCGUGGGGGCAUCCCCAACGCCUGGAAAGAACUUCGGUCCAGGAUGAGCUCGCGGCCUAUCAGGUAGUUGGUGAGGUAACGGCUCACCAAGCCUACGACGGGUAGCCGGCCUGAGAGGGUGACCGGCGACACUGGGACUGAGACACGGCCCGGACUCCUACGGGAGGCAGCAGUGGGGAAUAUUGCUCAAUGGGCGCAAGCCUGAUGCAGCAACGCCGCGUGAGGGACGACGGCCUUCGGGUUGUAAACCUCUUUUAGCAGGGAAGAAGCGAAAGUGACGGUACCUGCAGAAAAAGUACCGGCUAACUACGUGCCAGCCGCCGCUGUAAGAC
rnacentral:rRNA from 1 species